AAAAUAUUACCAAAUAAACUUCUACACAAUUAAUCCAUUAAUGUCCUACAAUAUUAUCAAUUAAAAUCCUAAAACAAUCAUCAAUUAAAAUUCUAAAAAACAAUCAUCAAUUAAUUUCUAAAAAACAAUUCUAAAAUAGUAAAUAAUUAACAAACCAAAAUCAAGAUUAAUUCAAAUCUAACAAGUCCUAAACCAAUGCUAACCUUAAUUCUAAAAUUUUAAUCCUAAUAUUAACUAAGAUUAACCCUAAAACUAAUUACCUAAAUCUGCAUGGACCUGAACUGGUUCCUUAAGCCCAACCAAUGGGGUGUAUGGACAAUGGAGGUGUGUUGUACUUAACAGAAUCAUUGGGCUUGAUUUGAGCCUAAGGCUCAUAAUAAAAUACAACAAAGAAGGAGCCAAAUGCUCACCUCUUUCAGCUCCCUCACGCGGUCGUGCUGCGAAGAAGGAACAAGUCACGAAGAGGACACAGCCGCGCCGGCUCCGUCACUGGCGGCGAUGCCCUCGCUCAAUCUUAAAUUCAACCAGAAAGCCAACCAACUCACGCUCACUCACACGCACGACCUCGGAUUUCAGUAUCGCCUUCGAUACACUCCUCUCAAGUCCAGGUUUCAAGAUUUAAAAAAAAUCAAAAUCGAAUAAUAAAGAGCUUAAGGCUCUCCAUCAAAUCGAAGUCGAGAUUCAAUUUGUGGCAUUCGGUCUCACGUACGGAAUAGGAGCAAGGUGGCGAAAGGGAAUAACCUAUCAGAUUUUGACGUGCCACUUCGAUCUUCCUCUUCGAUCGCUCAUGUCGGUGUCACCGCGGUCUCCGAUUUGUGCACUUCGCGAUGUGGUGUUUCAAUGUGUUCUGUUGGUAUUGAAUCAAGGUGAAUAGCAUAUCAUCGAAUUGCCGCCGAAGAGUCUGUGAUGAUGAAUCAUGGAGUGAGGUGCGAAGAUUGGAGGCGAUCCGGUGGUGAAAAGUUGCUUGUGUGGUGGUGGAUCAGUGAAGAUUGAAGAAGAGGUUCGUUAUUGGCGGUGGUUAUGGAAGAUGAGGAUUCAAGAAUCCAUUUGGGAGAGAAAUCAUCGUGAAGAAGUUGGUGGUUAGGAUUUUAAAAGAGAAAGGAAAAACCCCAAUUACUAUCAGCUCACGGAUUUAUACUGAUGAAUUUUGUGACUUCUUGGUAUGAUUCCCUUAUUCUGUGUUUCAAUAUUAGUUCCCUCUCUUCCUGUUGCCUUUUACUCAUGAUACGUUCUCUUUUUUCUUUGUUGCAUUUUGUAUGGAUGCUGCUUAAGUUUUGCUAUGUUUUGGCUCACAACGUAGCAGUUUGUUGGCUUGGAGCUUGUUGUUGGCUUUAUGCAGUUUGUCGCGUGCUACAACAGGUUAUGCUUAUGGCUCACGUACCUUGGCUUAGUUUGGAAGUUGGUUGCACGUUGUUGUUGUUUGAAUUGGCUCAUGGCUGUUAGCCGCGUUUCCGAUUUAAGCUGCAUUUUGAUUAUUCAAUUUUCUGUUGUCGUUUCCAAACUCUGCUCGCGUUUUUUAUUGUUGUUACUUUUCCGCUGCGUUUUGCUUGUUUUCCUGCUGCAGCUUUGGUGCGUUUGGUUGUCGUUUGGAUUGAAGCUUAUGCAGGUGGCUUUUAGCUUCGCGUUUCCGUCGGCUUAUGGAAGUAGCUGAAGUUUUAUUAUUUUUUAA